rnacentral:misc_RNA from 1 species
GGAUUAUGAAGCUCUAGAUUUUGAGUUCCCUGACGAACAUAUUAAUGAAGUAGACUGAGAAGAAGAGGGGUCAGUCGAUGUGUGGGAAAUGUAUUUUGACGGAGCAGUCAAUUUAUCCGGGAAUGGAAUUGGAGCUGUACUAGUAUCCCCAGAAGGAAAGCACUUCCCAAUAGCUGCUAAGUUGGGAUUUGACUGCACCAACAAUGUCGCUGAAUAUGAAGCUUGUGUGAUGGGUCUA